GCGCACGUGGACCUGGGUGCUGGCGCUGGGCUGAAGGGCCCCAGACACCACCACCCAGCCAAUGGGCGCAGGACGCCUUGCACAGUGAAUAAUGGAAGGGUGGGGAGGGGACGUAAGCUCCCCUUCUCAGGGAAAAUGCCUGGGCCGCGGUAGGUGCUUAAAGAUGUCUGCUUCCUGAACUGUCCAACCCAGCACAGCAGGACACCUUGGCCUUGCCAGAGGAUGCAGCCACCCACAGUUAGGGCUGCCCCAAAAGUGGGGGCCAGGAAGCCAGGACUAUAGGGAACAAAGCCGGUGGCUAAGCGAUCAAGGGGGACCCCACAGACACACAGGUGAAGUGGCAAGGGCUUCAGAUCCCCACCACUAGGACAAGAGAAAGCCAAAGACCUCGUCUGCCACCUCUCUGUAUUCCCCAGAACCCCAGGACUGGACCUGACACAUGGUAGAUGAUCAAUAAACAUGGUGAUUUUAUUGUUGUUAA